AUUGAACGCUGGCGGCAUGCCUUACACAUGCAAGUCGAACGGCAGCACGGGAGCAAUCCUGGUGGCGAGUGGCGAACGGGUGAGUAAAGUAUCGGAACGUGCCCAGUCGUGGGGGAUAACGUAGCGAAAGUUACGCUAAUACCGCAUACGAUCUAUGGAUGAAAGCGGGGGAUCGCAAGACCUCGCGCGAUUGGAGCGGCCGAUAUCAGAUUAGGUAGUUGGUGGGGUAAAGGCCCACCAAGCCGACGAUCUGUAGCUGGUCUGAGAGGACGACCAGCCACACUGGAACUGAGACACGGUCCAGACUCCUACGGGAGGCAGCAGUGGGGAAUUUUGGACAAUGGGCGCAAGCCUGAUCCAGCAAUGCCGCGUGCAGGAUGAAGGCCUUCGGGUUGUAAACUGCUUUUGUACGGAACGAAACGGCGAGCUCUAAUACAGUUUGCUAAUGACGGUACCGUAAGAAUAAGCACCGGCUAACUACGUGCCAGCAGCCGCCGUAA
rnacentral:rRNA from 1 species